AUGGGCAAGUCCGGCGCCAAAAAGAAGAAGCCCUCCCCUUCCGCCGCCGCCACCACAACCGCCGCCAAAUCGCCGCCAGCCGCAGCAGAGCAGAAGGCCCCGCCGCCCGCGCCCCCCGUAGCGAACGGGGCGGCGCAGCACCAGGCCCCGGCGGACCCCGGCGUGCUCCUGCGCCGUGCGCACGAGCUCAAGGAGGAGGGCAACCGCCUGUUCCAGUCGCGCGACUACGCCGGGGCGCUGCGGCAGUACGAGCUCGCCCUCCACCUUGCCCCGCGUGGCCAUCCCGACCGCGCCGUCUUCCACAGCAACCGCGCCGCCUGCCUCCUGCAGCUCCGCCCCGUCGACCACAAGGCCGUCGCGGAGGAGUGCUCCCUCGCGCUCCAGGCCGAGCCGCGCUUCCCGCGGGCCCUUCUCCGCCGGGCCCGCGCGCUUGAGGCGCUCGGCCGCUACGAGCUCGCACUCGCCGACACCCUCGCGCUCCUCGCCCUCGACCCCAACCACCGCGACGCUAUCGACCUCUCCCACCGCCUUCGCUCCCGCAUCUCCUCCUCCUCCUCCUCCUCAGCCUCCGCCGCCCCCACCCACGAACCCACCAGCCGCCCUUCUCCCGCCGCCCUCGGUGCCUCGGCCGUUGUGGCCGGCCUUGGCCCAUCCCUCCCUUCCCGCCCCUUCCCCAAGAAACAAUCGCCUCCGUCGCCUCCUCCUCCGCUGCAGCAACCAGGUCCUGCAAUGACUAAAUUUAAUUCUUCUCCAGCGCCCAAGUUGGUGCCUUUCUCCAACUCUCCGUCAUCUUCUGCCAAGGCUUCAACUGCUGAUAUUUCUCAGAAGACUGUGCCAGCACUGUCAGUGCCCUCAACCCAACCAGUGACGGAGACAUCGCUCAUUAACAGGAAGGUUGUGACGAGAUGGAGGCCUCUCAAGCUGGUGUAUGGCCAUGACAUUAGGCUUGGGGAGAUGCCUGAAAAAUGCAGCUUCCAGACCCUCCGGGAAGUUGUGGCGAAGCGCUUCCCAUCAUCCAAAGCUGUGUUGAUGAAGUAUAAGGAUGCCGAUGGUGAUCUAGUUACCAUCACUUGCACAUCAGAACUCCGAUUGGCCGAGGCUUGUGGUGUUGGCACCGAUGCAAUGGAAGGUGAUACUAAGCUCCCCAUGUUGAGGCUGCACAUUGUUGAAGUAAGUCCAGAGCAGGAGCCUCCGCUGCCAACAGAAGAGCAGAAGCUGGAGGAGGAGGAGUUGUUGAUCACCGGUGAGGAUAGCUCUUCACAUACUUCUGCAGAGGUAGCUAAUGCUGAGAUGACAAAGCCAGAUCUGGAGAAUGGAGUUGCUGAACAGAGCACUCUGACAGGAAAGAAAGAUUGUGGCCAUGCUGAGUGCAAGGAAGCUGAGAUUGACGAUUGGUUGCUUCAGUUUGCAGAACUGUUCCGAAACCAGGUUGGGAUUGAUGCUGAUGCGCAUCUGGACCUUCAUGAAGUAGGAAUGGAGCUGUGCUCCGAAGCACUCGAGGAAACAGUGACCAGCGAGGAGGCCCAAUCCCUAUUUGAGAUGGCCGCAGCAAAAUUCCAGGAGGUCGCUGCCUUGGCGUUAUUUAACUGGGGAAAUGUGCACAUGUGUGCAGCAAGGAAGCGCAUCCCUCUUGAUGAAUCUUCUCCGAAGGAAAUCAUGUCUGCUCAGCUCCGGACAGCUUAUGACUGGGUGCUAGAGAGGUAUGCUCUUGCAGGCCACAAGUAUGAGGAGGCCCUGAACAUCAAGCAAGAUUUCUAUGAAGGGCUUCUUGCUUUAGGCCAGCAACACUUUGAGACCGCAAAGCUUCACUGGUCAUUUGCAUUGGCAGACAAGGUUGACCUGUCUACGUGGGAUUCUUCAGAGACAUUCAAGCUUUUUGAUAGUGCUGAGGAGAAGAUGAGGGCUGCGACAGAGAUGUGGGAGAAAGUGGAAGAACAGAGAAUGCUAGAGUUAAAAACACCUGGUGCGACCGAGAAAGAUGAGGUGUUGAAGAAACGAAAGAAGCAACACAGUGCAGAUGGUCAAGGGGAGUUGACACCGGAGGAGGCAGCUGAGCAGACAGCCGUAAUGAGGCAACAGAUUCACCUAUUUUGGGGCAAUAUGCUUUUUGAGCGCUCUCAAGUGGAAUUCAAGCUUGUUGUCGGUGAUUGGAAGAAGAAUCUCGAUGCUUCUGUUGAAAGGUUUAAGUUGGCUGGAGCUUCAGAAUCAGAUAUCUCCACGGUGCUGAAGAAUCAUUUUUCCAAUGCAGUCUCUGAGUGCGAAGAGAAGAAAGUUAUGCCUUCAGGCACAGGAAGUUCCCAAACAAGUGAUGGCAUUGAUGAUGAGUCUGUGGUUGAAAGCUAA
rnacentral:rRNA from 1 species